ensembl:lncRNA
AGGAAAUGAAUGUGGCGAGAGAGAGAGAGAGAGAGGUAAUGACAUGCAACAAAAUUCCCUGCUGGAUACAAAACAAGGAAGUUCAUUUUUCGGUCAGUCCCCGUGGCACAAAAUGACAUUUGCAGUACUUUACUGAAAUGUUUUAGGGUUAUUGUUUUUGUUUUUGUUUUUUUUAAUUAUUAUCAUGAUUAUGAUUUUUCCAACUUGGAAAACCAACUAAUCCACUGGUGUUUGAGAAGGUGAUGGUUACAGUAGUGACAGUAGUGCUCAGCAUGAUUUUUCGGCACUAAGACUGCAUUAGUCUCUCUUUAUGUUCACCAGUUUUCAAUGCUGUCAAAGGGAAAACAGAACUAAUUACCCUUUAAUCAAAUCCAGUCUGCUUUUUGUGAGAUCCUGCACUGAUCCAGCGGAUGGAAAGGCUUCUGAUUGACCAGGAUCACUAGAAGUGUUGUAUUAAAAAGACUCAGCAGCAACUCCUGGCAGCAGUGAUUGAAGAGUGGGAGCCGCCCCACUGGAUGACAUCCGGAGGUUAAGCCUGUCCAUGAGGCAUAUUAGUGCAAUGAUCAAUGCAGAUGGGGGGCUCACUAAUUAAUGAUUGUGUGUGUGUGUGUUUUUUGUAACCUGCAAUGUACAGUGCAUAUGUUACUUGGGAUUUUUUAAAAUUCUUUUUCCUUAUAAGAAGGUAACGAUAGUCUCUCCUUGUCUUCUGUCAGAAUGUCUGUAUUUACUGCCUGUCUGUCAUGUGUUGUGUUGCUCAGGAAGACUUUUUGACUCAGCUGUGCUGCCUUAAGAGUCCUACAUUUGAGCCCUGGAUCUGACACGCAAACACACACAGAGAUGUAAAAGGAAGCUACAUGCCAAUAUUUUCAUCCAGCUUGAAGAUGCCAUCUGAACUCCACCAGAGGGAGACAGAGUAACGCUGAAAAUGUCCCAGAUGGUCCGGUAGGCAUCAGCAAGGCUUCUGAAGAAACUGACUGGAUAAUUUCUCACAACAGAAAUGGAAAUAUGAGCAGCAUAGUGGAGAGAAUUCACACUUAUAGUGAAAUUGUUUCAAAAAUAUUGACCUUUUCACUUCAGGCAGAUUUCUUUCUAAGGAGAAAACAUUUUUUUGUCUUUUUUGACAGAGAAACACAAAUUUUUAGGUUUUGAUCACAUUUAACAGCCUUGGUGAAGGGAACACAUUUCAUGAGUCAUCGGGUGAUAAUCAAAAAACAAAACAAAAAAGUUAACUAUGACUUAUAUAACACAGACAGCAAAGAAAGCACAAUUAACUGUGAUGACUUUUUUUUUUUUUUUCAUUAAACUGACUGUAAACUUUGUAUUUACAUGUUUUCACUAAUACUGCCAGAAUAGCCACAUUUUCAGCAGCUGAAUGCUGGAAAGACUGAAAUUAACAGAACAAUGACUUUACUUUUUUUUCUGUGUUGUUGGAGUCUAAAAGUUAAGCUCCAAAUUUGGUUUUCCAGGUGAUGUUUGUAACAUUUAGGAAGUCCACACAGGAUGGGUGAGGCUCUGCCAGGCCUGCGGGCUGUUCCACAAGUUACAAACCCUCAUAUGGAGCAGAGCCAUGCAUUAUUCACCCCACAUUUACAUAAGACACAAUGGUGAGAACGGUGCCAAAAAAGUGUACGGCUGAACUGUGUGUUUGUGUGUGUUUAUCUGGCGUAUCAAGGGUGCUUCUGAGCAUUCCCGUGAAUCUCUUUGCCACCUGAGGUUUUUGCUGUUCUGCCAACAAUUGUUGAUGCAAUCUAGACGAGGGCACAGACCCCAAGGCUCAUCCUCGAAUCCCUGAAAGCUUUGGUUACCCAUUACAAGAAGAGAGAGCAGAGGAGGGAGCGGGCAGAUAAAGGCUGAUAUUGUUUCUGUGCACAUUUAUCUUUCUGUCUGAAAGCCCUGUUUACUGAGGACUUAAAGCCAAACCAGGUUCUCUGGCAUUUUUGAAAAAACACAGGUCAGAGUGGCCAUGACUUACUUCAGAAUUCCUUCACGGUGACGAAUGAUGUAAUAUGAUGCUCAAACAAUCACAAAGUAAUACUGUUAUGUUCCUGUGAUGGCAUGCCUUUGUGUUGAGUCAGAAAGUAAUCAGAUAAGCGCUCAAGUGUUGAUAUUAGCUUUGCUAUUUUAAACACAUUAACCGAGUUUAGCAGUUUCACCAGAGUGAAUGAGCAAGUUGAAGACUUAAAACAAAACUACAAAAUAGUCCCAGAAGCACCAGAAUAAGUGUCAGAGAAAGCUGGACAGGAAACAGAUUCUCCACAAAAGAAUGCUCACUGUGAGGCGAAGUGAUCACUGGGCAAGCUAUCUUUCAGGAGGGCCCCGCAGCUUCAAUAUACCCUAAAUAUGUUUCCUCCUGCAGUCAAGGGUACUUUGCAUCUGUUGUUACAACAAUUUGAACUCUUGCGCUACCUUCAGGCAAUUAGAUACAGAUAAUUUUUAACCUCCAUGAUGGAGGUUAUGUUUUUCUGUUAGCGUUUGCUGGCGUGCCUUCUGUCAUUACGUCUGUAAACAUAACAGCACAAAAGGUUUUGAAUGAAUUUUGGUCCAACUUUGCAGGGGUUCAGAAUGGGGUCAUGUUAACAAUCCAUUAAAAUUUGCCUCCGAUCCACCAAGAUCUUCAAGGUCAUCUUAAUGAUUUAGUAGUUGAAAAUGGACAAAAAGCCUUAUAACUGAGCUGAGAAACUGAUUCUUACAAGUGUGGUGUGUAUUGUUAACAUAUGGAAAGUAUCAUAUAAAGAUUUAAAAUAUCAUGUCACAUUUCACCUCUGACCUUUCCUUCAAGGUCAAUAGAUGGGUCAAAGUGAUAAUAAUGCUAUAUAGAGCUAUUCAAAACUAUGUUUCUUACUGCCAUUAUUUGUAUUGACUGCAUAUAGAGAAUUAUAUAUGGGUGUUUUAAAUAUCAUUUUAUUAUGACUUUGUUAUGUUCAUUACAGUAAGAGGUUAUAACCAUUUAAAUACAUUAUAACAGUUACAAUACAAAUAUUUAAAUACAUGUACAAUGUUCCUGAGUAUUUUUUAUUUUGGAAAACAUAAUAAACCUUUGAUCCAAAAAGUUUUUCACUUGGUUGUCAUGUUUUCAUGUAAACCUUUAAACAAAGUUUACGAAACAGUGAAUUGAAUGCUACACAUGUAUUAUGUCCAUAUAAAUCCACAUGAAAAAUAAUUAUAGUCGAAAUUAUGUCAGGUAUAUUUAAAUGGGUUUCAACAGGGAAAACAACAACUGCUUCCACUUUGCACUUUUUUUUUUUACUGCACUAACAUUUCUUAAAUGAUUUUUAAAAAGCUCAAAGAAAACAAAAUGAAUACAGAGAAAACACUGUGCUAUUUCCUUAAAGGUAAGUGAGCUGCCAUGUCGGAGGUUUGUGCUCUCGGAGUGCUUCUUGAUCAUUUGUUAUUCUAACUUUCCAAAUGAUCAAGAAGACAUUCUUUACCCUCAAAAAAUGUCCUGUUUCCCCCAAAAAUCUUGGGUUAAACUUAAAGUGAUGACUCAGACCCCACAGAUGAAACCUGAAAUAAAGCCUCAAAUACCAAAAGGUACAGAACUGUCAAAUUCAAUUAAUUUUUGCAUCUGUUUGGUUGUUCUUUCAACCUGGAGACUGGAUCUAUUAUUAUUUAUUUCACAUUAUUAAAAACACUGAAGUUGACAUUAAACUAAGGCUUUUCAGGCAGUUACCAAGAUACAUUCUUCU